GAAGUCUGAGUGCAUUGGUCUCGUUCGGGUGGUUGACUUUAUGGCCGUAGUCGUGGAAAGUAUCUUCUACAGGAUGAAGGUAUUUGCAUCAGUUCCAGGCGUGAUGUUGUCUACUUGCAUUAGCAUUCCAAUCAGGAUAGAAAUGUUAGCCGAGUCUACAGAACUAGGCACUGUAGUAGAUUGUGUGAAGAACUCAUAGCAAUGUUCGUGUGAUGGGCAGCUGAACUGUUGGGGCUGAUGGUGGAGUAGCGCCGGGCCCUGUGACUGUGGAGCAGUUCAUAACCGCUAGCUUCCACGGGUACCAUGAGACCUUCCAUUCCCAGACCAUAAACCAAGGACAAUGCCAAGGACAAUGCUGUUGCUGAGUCGUGUCUAUCAGCGGGUUACCACGGCAUAGAAAAGCCCUGCUUGCACAUCGUUGUCCAGCACGACAUCCAGCGCUUGUUGCACGACGUCUAUCACCGCAUGAUCGACUUCUAUCACCGCAUGAUCGACUUCUAUCACCGCAUGAUCGACUUCUAUCACCGCAUGAUCGACUUCUAUCACCGCAUGAUCGACUUCUAUCACCUGUCGCCCAACUGUUUACGUUGAUGCUGCCGUGGGUAUGAGAAGAUGACUCGGGUACCUCCGAAACCGCUGAUAAUCUGGCGGCUGGUUGUUACCUUGCUUUGCGGGGCCACCGGCAUUCUGCAGGAGUCAUCGGCAUGGUGUUAGUCACCGGUAUGGUGUCAUCAGUCAUCAUCACAGUUUCCUGGUAGCUAUAGCUUUAUCAAUGCCGUAUAUAGUGUGUGGCUGGUGAUAUGCUUCAGAUUCACCUACAACCGUAUUAUGCUCUGCUAUAUGUUAUGUUGCCUUUAUUUUACUUCACCAUAGGUACAGGUAUUGCUGCCUUCUUGCUGUGGAUCAUGAGUGAUGCCACAGCUCCUAGGCUAUGAUGAACAUUAUGCUGUGGCGCAUAGUGGGCUGUAUGCAGAAGAGUCAUGUGCGCUCACCCCAUGCUGGCCCGCCCCCAUAUGCAGCAUAAACAUAAUAUAAUUACUAUGUGUUCACUCCAAGCUGCUCCGAUUUGCAGCGCAUGCAGUGCAAGCAGUCCCCAAUAUACACCAUAGUCAUGUGUGGUCUCAUCCCAAGCUGGCCACCGAUUUACAGCAGAAACAUGUGCGUUCGUCCCAAGCUGGCCCGGUCCUUGGAUAUCUGCACGAGAGGACCCAUCGAACAUAGCACAGCAUAAUAUAAUGUUACUUGCUUA